GUUUAGUUACUCGAGCGACUAUCACUAGCUUGCAACGAGCUUUUCUAUCAAGUUACGUGUCCUCUACGGUAAAUCGAUUAACAAAGUUAAAAUGAAGCUCUUCCACGUGUUUUUCAUCGUGUGCGCUUUAAUUGCUGCUGCUGCUGCCAGUCCAGGACUGGUGAGGAAGGCAAUUGUUAAACGACCAAUAAUCGUAAAAUCCGCACCAGUUAUCGUUCAUCGUCCGAUCGUAGUGAGCAAGUACAGCUCCCACGGAGGAUGGUGGUAGUGGCGAAAAUGUCAGCGGGACCAGCAAAAACUAAUCCAUGGAACAAGAAAAUCUUAUUACCACUUCCUGUGUGACCCACAUCCCAAACGUAUCACCCAACACCCACAGCUCCUUGCGUUGCUAGGAAGCAUUCCGAACCGCUGCAUCGGUGACACGAUCCAAUUAGAAUUUUCACGUACCGAGAGCCACGUUUUAUAUGCAUUCGAACGUACCCUGAAAUUGCUUCAAUUAAGCCAAAAGCAACGACUCCGUUUACAGCCAAACGUAACACUGACGAGAGCGUACAAUAAAUCGAAUAACAGCCAAGUUCCUGGCAAUCCGUUACGGUUACCCACCGACUACCGA